UCCCUGGUGGCUCAAACAAUAAAGAAUCUGCCUACAAUGCAGAAGACCCAGGUUCAAUCCCUGGGUCGGGAA
rfam:TPA: Bos taurus chromosome 3, whole genome shotgun sequence.